rnacentral:rRNA from 1 species
GAUGAACGCUGGCGGCGUGCUUAACACAUGCAAGUCGAACGGAAAGGCUCCUGCUUGCAGGGGUACUCGAGUGGCGAACGGGUGAGUAACACGUGGGUGAUCUGCCCUGCACUUCGGGAUAAGCCUGGGAAACUGGGUCUAAUACCGGAUAGGACGAUGGUUUGGAUGCCAUUGUGGAAAGUUUUUCGGUGUGGGAUGAGCUCGCGGCCUAUCAGCUUGUUGGUGGGGGAAUGGCCUACCAAGGCGUCGACGGGUAGCCGGCCUGAGAGGGUGUACGGCCACAUUGGGACUGAGAUACGGCCCAGACUCCUACGGGAGGCAGCAGUGGGGAAUAUUGCACAAUGGGCGCAAGCCUGAUGCAGCGACGCCGCGUGGGGGAUGACGGCCUUCGGGUUGUAAACUCCUUUCGCUAGGGACGAAGCGCAAGUGACGGUACCUGGAGAAGAAGCACCGGCUAACUACGUG